CUCUCUCUCUCAAUAUGUAUAUAUGUAUAAUGCCAUGUAUAUUUGCUGUGUCAUAUCUCUUUCUGCUUGUAUUUUGGAAAGUUCAUGUAAUCAGCUGAAAAUUAAUUUAGAUUCCUUCUAAACCACAAGCUAUGGUUUUGGUUUAUUAAAAAGAUUAUUGUUCCAAUAAUAUAUGAUGGUUGCAUGAGCCAAAAAAGACGGGUGGUUGGUUAUAGUUCAUGGCCAUCCAUAUCCAUCAUCACCACAAAACCAUAAGCUUUUUAGUGAUCAAUAAUAUGCUUUUCCUCCGGCCCCUGUGUCUUGGAGAGUUUUAUUACUUGUUUAUAUAUUUUUCCUCUCUUUAACUUGGUACUGGUUUUCUCCUUUUUGUUUCGUCCUCAGAAAAACCAAUCUAGUUUCUUUACAAGAGCAGGACAUAAGUUAGAAGCUGCUAUUUAUCGAUAUUACUGGCAAAGUAGCUCUUGAUUCAUGCUGGUCAACUGGUGGAUUUACCGACUGUUUACUUCAGUAUGGUGCAUUGUUUGUUUAUGGAGUUGAUAUUGGAUAUGGCCAGGUUGCAGAUGAACUUGUAGCAGAGUUUUCUGACCCUAUCAAUGGUGUCACAUCCCCUGAUCAAAUUGACGAGGUGCGCAUUGAAGUGGCUGAUUAUAUACAGAGUUUGAUGUAGGAAUGUGACUGCCAAGAUGUUUUUUUAGUAAGGCUAGCUAGUUUUGGCUUUGAAGCAAAGCUUGGUGUGGAACUUUUGUACAUUGUUGCUCGUAUGUUUCCAAGCUAGCUUUUGUAAGUUUAGGGGUUUAUUUUGUGAAUUAUGUUAAAUCAUGAAUUUGGAAAGAAAAUUAAUGGGAAAGCCCCUUAUUUUGGAUGAUGAGAAAUGCAAUUUUU